rnacentral:rRNA from 1 species
UACGAAGGGGGCUAGCGUUGCUCGGAAUCACUGGGCGUAAAGGGUGCGUAGGCGGGUCUUUUAAGUCAGGGGUGAAAUCCUGGAGCUCAACUCCAGAACUGCCUUUGAUACUGAAGAUCUUGAGUUCGGGAGAGGUGAGUGGAACUGCGAGUGUAGAGGUGAAAUUCGUAGAUAUUCGCAAGAACACCAGUGGCGAAGGCGGCUCACUGGCCCAUUACUGACGCUGAGGCACGAAAGCGUGGGGAGCAAACAGG